rnacentral:miRNA from 1 species
UAACGGCCGCGGUACCCUAA